rnacentral:rRNA from 1 species
AUUGAACGCUGGCGGCAGGCCUAACACAUGCAAGUCGAGCGAGCGGCGGACGGGUGAGUAAUGUCUGGGAAUUGCCCAGUCGAGGGGGAUAACAGGUGGAAACGACUGCUAAUACCGCAUACGAUUGGAUUGCGCAGGUGGGAUUAGCUAGUUGGUGGGGUACUGGGUCACCGAGGCGAAGAUCCCUAGCGGGUCUGAGAGGAUGAUCAGCCACACUGGAAUGUGGACACGGUCCAGAAUCCUACGGGAGGCAGCAGUGGGGAAUAUUGGACAAUGGGGGAAACCCGGAUGCAGCCAUGCCGCGUGUGUGAAGAAGGCCUUCGGGUUGUAAAGCACUUUCAGCGAGGAGGCGUUACUCGCAGAAUAAGCACCGGCUAACUCCGUGCCAGCAGCCGCGGUAAUAC